GCUAGCGGCAGGCUAAUACAUGCAAGUCGUGGGGCAGCAGGGCUGUAGCAAUACAGUCGCUGGCGACCGGCAAACGGGUGCGGAACACGUACACAACCUUCCUCUAAGUGGGGGAUAGCCCGGGGAAACCCGGAUUAAUACCCCGUAACAUAAUGGAGUGGCAUCACUUUAUUAUUAAAGCUACGGCGCUAAGAGAUGGGUGUGCGGCUGAUUAGGUAGUUGGCGGGGUAACGGCCCACCAAGCCUACGAUCAGUAACUGGUGUGAGAGCACGACCAGUCACACGGGCACUGAGACACGGGCCCGACUCCUACGGGAGGCAGCAGUAAGGAAUAUUGGACAAUGGACGAAAGUCUGAACCAGCCAUGCCGCGUGGAGGAUGAAGGUCCUCUGGAUUGUAAACUUCUUUCAUCUGGGAAGAAACCCAUGGAUUCUUCUGUGGUUGACGGUCCAGAUGAAUAAGCACCGGCUAAC
rnacentral:rRNA from 1 species